CCAUUUUGUCCCCAACAGCCGGCUCUAGGGCGGCCGGUGCCUGUGGCCACCGUCGGAGAGGCGACUGUCAGUGACUUAACGGCCCCGAGCGGCCUCACCUGGGAGCCACACCCGCCCUCUACCCCUGGUUUUCAUUUAAGCGCUAGCCGUAAACCACCAGCUCCCCCCUGAGCCGUGAGGUGGAAGCGGGGGGUCUCUAGUUCAGCUAUGUACUGCCCGCAGCACCGUUUCUUUAAGCCCUCGCCUGCGGGCUGAUUUUUUUCUUUGCCCUCGGAUCUCCCUCCUGGCUGUGGAUCCAUCUAGGGAGGAGACCUCUUUCCCCGGCAGGAAGCUGUGGAGAAGCUGUUGGGCCUUUCUGCCCCCUCAGGCCGGGCGCACCGUCAGCGCGGCGGGGCCAGCCACCCAUCUCACUGUGCCCCUCCAGAGUAUCAGUGAGCUGAGUGCUGCUGCUUCCUGCUUCCCAGACAUGUUCAUCAUGUGAAAGGGAGAGAGCCCCUAAGUGAAGAAGGCAGCCAGGAAUGGCACCUGUAUUCCAUCUGAAUGGAGUGAUUAAAGCCUGGAAAGCCUCAGGAAAUACAGAAAGACAACAGGCCUCAGGAUGCAAUUGGAAAAGACAACAUCACUCUUGGAUCUAGUUGCAAUAAGUGUCUGCUUUUAAAGCACCUGUAGUUGAAGGCCAUGCUUUGCUCUAAGGGAGUUCUUAAUUUGUUAUCACAAAAGUUGAAAUAUGGUAUGCUAGCUGUAAAAGGUGUCUGGGAAUCAAGAAAUGCCGGGUUGGAGUUUCAGUUCUGCCAGUCUCAUUCUGUGUCAGUAGGCAGAUUGUUGAUGACUCUAGAGAAAAGCAGUUUCUAUUGAGUUUGACUGAAUUUAUGGAAGAACACGUAAAUAUGCAGCCACCACCGACCUCUGCCUCAUUUAUUGUAAAUUAUGCUUGCCUCCUGCAAUGUUGCAGCCCUUGCAUAAGUAAUUUUCUCCAUCUGUUUUGAGAUCCUUUGAAUGUAUAAUUAUAUUAUUCAGACUACUGAUGAGAUAUUGCAGGCCUCCACAAUUCCAUAAACAGAAGCAUUUUAUAUCAAAUUUAAAAGGGUAAAAAUGGAAUUGAAAUGAAAUAAUUAAAUUCUAGGAUUUUAGGACGUUUUCUUGUUAAACAGUGUAACUUCUCUAUCACAAGCUAAAGCAAAACCAAAUCAGUGAAAGCUUUGCCUGACAUCCUUUGGCAGGCUGAAAGUUAACUCAUUUUCAGUUGGAUUUAAAUGUGAAAUUGGAUUACCAGAGCUAAAAAUAUUUCUGCAAUACUGUACUGUCAAAAAGCAAUAAACACUUAUGCCAGAUAGUCUAAGGAAGAAUGGACAGCAAGCUCUGAGAAUAUUAUAACUGAUUUUUUGCUGUAACCAUGGAAAUGUAGCUACAAACACUUGUGUUUAGACUGUACAGUCCUCAUGAUAUACAGCUUGUCAGUUGUUUUUACAAGACAAACCCUUUCGACUCCAUGGGUGCAGAACAGUUCCUAACAAGGAGAAAGUGGAAGGUGACUGUUACAAAUGGGAUGUGUCCAGUGCCUCAUCACUUCUCAAAAUAACAAGGCAAAGCCAUUAUGGAGACCUCAUUCUAAUUUAAACAUCCAUGUGUUUAUUCUAGCAUUAAUGUGUUUCUUGGGUGACUUUGUUUAGAUUUUGUGCCUCCUAACCCAUAUGACUGUAUUCCCAAAGUAUGUGGAUAGUCAUGUGAUUUGGUUCCCUCACUCGCUCUGCUAUGAGGAAAGGACUGGGCAAUCUGUAAUCCAUGUUUAAAUUAAGAUUGUUAUUUUAAGCAACCUUCUCCUACCCCAUCUUCAGAUGCCUGAGGGAUUCCCUUUGGCAUUCCAAUAAAUAGGAUAACAGCAGGC